rnacentral:ribozyme from 13 species
UGCGAAGAAGAAAGGAGAGAAACAGAAGAGAAAUCGACAUGAAAAUCAUUGUCCAAAGAAGUUGCCCAUUUGGACACUUUUUUUGAUUUCUUUUUUUCUUCUUUUUCUUUUGCGAUUUGGUCUCGAAUUGAAACUAUCUUCGCAAGAGGAGAAACCCCAUCAAAAGAAAAAGAAGAAUGAUCAACCAACCAAUCCCAAACUGCAUCCUCAUUCUUUUUACUCUCUGCCAUUUUUUCCAAAGAGAAAAAAACUCCUCUCUUCCCUUGAUCUCUUU